UAUUGCUUUGGCAAUACAUAUACUAAAAUUGGAACGAUACAGAGAAGAUUAGCAUGGCCACUGCAGCAAGGAUGACACGCAAAAUUAUGAAGCGUUCCACUGGUGU
rnacentral:snRNA from 1 species